AUUGAACGCUGGCGGCAGGCCUAACACAUGCAAGUCGAGCGAGCGGCGGACGGGUGAGUAGUGUAUUGGGAUCUGCCUGAUCGAGGGGGCAAACUACUGGAAACGUUGGAUACUACCGCAUACUAUCGUAUGAACCCAUGUGGGAUUAGCUAGUCGGUGGGGUAAAGGCUCACCUAGGCGACGAUCUCUAGCUGGUCUGAGAGGAUGAUCAGCCACACUGGGACUGAGACACGGCCCAGACUCCUACGGGAGGCAGCAGUGGGGAAUAUUGCACAAUGGGCGAAAGCCUGAUGCAGCCAUGCCGCGUGUAUGAAGAAGGUCUUAGGGGUGUAAAGCACUUUCAGCGGGGAGGCGUUACCCGCACAGGAAGCACCGGCUAACUCCGUGCCAGCAGCCGCGGUAAUUC
rnacentral:rRNA from 1 species